CUUAAAGUCAAAAGCAAAAAUUGCAAAGGCAAACCACCUGUGGAUAGUGUUUUAAAAUCAAUGUUAGGGGAAACUGGGAGACUUAUGACUACAAGAUACGUGUUACUGAAAUUCAGGAGGGGGGAAACUCCAUGGCCUGAGCUAGAAGGUGUGUGGAAGCAAAUAUUCUCAGUUGCCUGUAUCUUCACUGUAAGAUCGUGUCCCCCUCGGUUUGAAAUGGGUGUAGACAUUUGCUGUGACUUUUUUGUACAUAGAUUUGCUGAAGAUUGUAGCAUUUCAGUUAGAAUGAAAAACAUUCUGAGCUUCUUGAUCAACCAGAAACCAAGAACACUCACUUACAAAUGCACUUUAAUCCUUAAGUUAUGGCAUUUUUCUAAUUUCAUUAAUGCUGUCAAAACAUAUUCUAAUCUGUCUAGUCAGGAUUCCCCCAAAUGACGUGCUGGCAGAUUAUAAAAUAGUCUUAUCGUUUUUUUCUAAAAAUUCAUCUUGAAUUUACUUAAUAUCCAAAUCCUGAAUUUGUUGGUGCUGUGUGCGCUUGGAUUCUGUUUGCCCUUAUAAUAGCAAGAUAAGGCUGUGGACAACAACUUUUUAAAUAUGUGUACUAUAUGAUAUUAAAAAAACUAAUCACAUGUGGAUUUAAAUGUAUGUUUCAGGGCAAGUCAAAUUUCUAGAUAUAAUUAAUCAUAUGUAGUACUUGGGUAUGUAGUACAGUAAAUUUGGUAGCAUAAUCAUGAGAGUAGAGUUCCUCCUGAAUUGAUCACAUAUUCAGUUCCAGCCUAUGGCAGACUCUACUAUAUUCAGUGUAAUAGUUGGAAGCUGAUAAACACAGAUUAUCACAUAAAGCUUCAAAUGUCUGAAGGCACCUGAUUUCAAUUUAAAUGUUAUUCAUUAGGAAAUACUGUAUGCAUGAGAACUGCCUUGACUGCAGUUGAGGAACUUACUGCAGUGCUCUGACUAGGAGGAAUUAAAUAACGAGAAACCUCCCUGUCCUGAGAAAUCAUGUUAAUUUGCAUAAAUCCUUGAAACAAAGCAAAUCACCUCUUUUUCAUUGUAGGGAUUAAAUUCCAAUGCAUGCAGAUAUAUGUGAUAGAAGGGGAUGGAUGUAUUUGAGACACAACCGAUAUUGCUUUGCAGUCUCUCAUUUUCUAGCCAUCUCUUUCCUUCCUAUCGAAGUACCAGCACCUAAAGAGCUGUAAUAACUGAGUAUUUGGAUUACAUCCAGACCAAUAGCAGCAAGACAGUAUAAUUUUCUGACUAAUCAGACCUGAAACAUGCCAUUAAAAUUGGAAGAUCUUUACUUGUCAAUGUGGCUGUUAAAGCCUGUGGGCAUGGAUUGUGAAUCUGAUGAUGCCAAUAAAUAAACUCUCAGUUUAGAAAUCAGCAGGGUUACCAUUGAUGGGGAUGAAUGUCUGAUUUUUGUUUAAAAUGGUGCUUAAAAAAUUAUCUAUAACAUUUAAUAGCUAAUGGUGUAUUUGGAGCAUAAGGAUGAUAGGAACAGUAUUCUAUCUAUCUCUAACCAUUUUGUUUUCAAUUUUAUAGGUUACCAUGAAGGUUCAUCUCUUGCCAUAGAAAUGGAGACAUAGCGGUUUACAAAUCUGAUGGUACAAAACUCACUCAGACAGCUUCCUUCUCAGGAGCCAGCAUCUUCUCUUUGCACAGACUUCAGAAUUGAAGGUCAGGAAGCAAAUGGAUCUUCAGGAUAAGAAAUUGUCAUGAAGUAUUAUCUGAUUGGAAUCCUAGACUGAUUGUCCAGAAUAUGUGCUGGGCAGAUCUUUCAGGGCUUUACAAGUUCAGGGUAUUUUAAAGUUAAUGUCUGGGUGGAGCAGUUUCAUAGAGAGUGGGCCAGGGAAGACUGGCCUGGAUCAUUCCCUUUUAAUAGAUACAAUUAUAUAUAGAUAUAUAUUAUCUGUAAUAGGUGAAAAGUGUUGGUGUAAAUGCAUUUCCACAGUCCUUUCCAUUGCUGCAAACAUCGGGCACUCUAAAUCUAAAAAUUCGUCAAGCCUUUAUGUUCCCAGGCAGGCUGUUUAUCUUGGGCCUGAUUCUUCAGCCUUUACUCACAGUGAGCAAAAUUUACACACAAAUCAACAGAAUUUCUUGAGUAAGUACUACUCAACGUGAGUCAGGUUUGCCAAAUCAGGGCCUAAACUGGAAGAGCUCUUUGUGUGUAUGUGCGGUGUAUAUUUAGAUAAUGUGUAUACGUUUGCAACUGUAUCUGUGCAUAAAAUACCUGCUCAUGCUGGCAGAAGCAAAGUUAAAGAAUAUGCCAAGACCACUGAUGCUGUUGUCUAGAAAUACAUCAUCCUCAGUAGGAUUUUGAGGUUUAUUGGCCAUGAAACACAAUCCUGUAACAGGUAAUCAAAUGUUAAAGGGAAUUUUAGACAUAAUGACUUCAUUUAAUUCCUACACCUAAAGUAUGGGAAUCUAACAAUAUCACGGAGCACAUUCUUCUUCCCUUUCCCACCAGGAUCUGUGUUUUACAAAGGUUUUUAAUUAUUAUUUUCAGUUCCAUAAGCAUUGAUUUAGAAGCAGGUAAAUUGGAAACUUGCAUUGAAUGUAUGGCUCCAGCGUCUGUGAUUGGAGCCCAACCU